CGAACGCUGGCGGCGUGCUUAACACAUGCAAGUCGAACGGAAAGGCCCUGCUUUUGUGGGGUGCUCGAGUGGCGAACGGGUGAGUAACACGUGAGUAACCUGCCCUUGACUUUGGGAUAACUUCAGGAAACUGGGGCUAAUACCGGAUAGGAGCUCCUGCUGCAUGGUGGGGUUGGAAAGUUUCGGCGGUUGGGGAUGGACUCGCGGCUUAUCAGCUUGUUGGUGGGGUAGUGGCUUACCAAGGCUUUGACGGGUAGCCGGCCUGAGAGGGUGACCGGCCACAUUGGGACUGAGAUACGGCCCAGACUCCUACGGGAGGCAGCAGUGGGGAAUAUUGCACAAUGGGCGGAAGCCUGAUGCAGCAACGCCGCGUGCGGGAUGACGGCCUUCGGGUUGUAAACCGCUUUCGCCUGUGACGAAGCGUGAGUGACGGUAAUGGGUAAAGAAGCACCGGCUAACUACGUG
rnacentral:rRNA from 1 species